rnacentral:rRNA from 1 species
AUGGAGGUGGCUCUCGGCUCGGCGGCCUCGGUCCUCGGCAAGGUGUGGACGACGCUGUCCGACACCGUGGUGGCGGCGUACGUGGACAGCCUCCAGCUCGGCCACAACUCCCAGCAGAUCAGGGAUAAGCUGCUGCACGCGCAAGGCCUGCUGCACAACGCCCAGGGGCAGGGGAGCCAUAACCCUGGCCUGCAGGGGUUGCUGGAGAAGCUGAGCAGGGACGCCGACCAGGCAGAGGACCUGCUGGAUGAGGUCCACUACUUCCAGAUCCAUGACAGGCUCCACGGCACCAACUAUGCCACCACCACCCAAGAGGCCGGCCCGGAUCUGGACAGCCUUGUCCACCAUCAAGCUCUCCACGCCGGUACUGCUCUUCGCCACACCCUAGGCAGCUUAGUCCAGUGCUUUUCUUGCUCGCCUACACCCAAGACCAAGAGGGAUGGAGGUGAUGAUGCUGCUGCUGUUGCACCACGCCGCGUCACCAAGAGCACCUUGCUCCACUGCUUUUCUUGCUCCUGUGCACCCAAGAGCAAGAGGAAUGCUGCUGCUGUUGCUGUUGCCGGCGUUGGUGGUGAUGCUGCUGCUGCUGCUGCCGGACUCACCAACUCCAACUCCAACUCUGCUAGUGCUGAUGAUGGUGAUACACCGCGUUUUGACAGAGUGUUCAUGUCCAGAGAAAUCAAGUCCGUGUUACAGGACAUGCAGUCCCACUGUGAUUCCGUCUCCAAUUUGCUUUGCACUAUCCCAACCAGCAGCAGCAGGGCAGUGGCAGUCGUCCAAGAUCGGCCUCAGACAGCUUCCAUGAUUAUACAAGAUACAUUGUAUGGCAGGAGACACACUUUUGAGGAAACUGUCAACCGUAUCACCACUGUCACACACACUGAGACUGUUUCUGUUCUUCCUAUAGUUGGUCCAGGGGGUAUUGGAAAGACAACUUUCACCACUCACCUGUACAAUGACGCAAGGACUCAAGACCACUUCCAAGUCAGGGUUUGGGUAUGUGUAUCCACUGAUUUCGAUGUGCUUAAGCUCACCAGGGAGAUCCUUGGCUGCAUACUUGCAACUGAAGGAGCAGGUAGCAGCGGUGUUGCAAAUGAAACAGCCAAUUUAGACCAGCUUCAGAAAUCCAUAGCAGAACGUCUCAAGUCCAAGAGGUUUCUAAUUGUCUUGGAUGAUAUAUGGAAAUGUGACAGUCAGGAUCAGUGGAAAACCCUGGUAGCUCCGUUCACAAAGGGGGAAAGCAAAGGAAGUAUGCUACUUGUCACAACUCGAUUCCCAAAGGUAGCAGACAUGGUGAAAACAGUUGAUCCACUAGAGCUACGAGGUUUGGAGUCUAAUGACUUCUUCACAUUCUUUGAAGCAUGUAUAUUUGGUGAAGAAGAAAAGCCCGAGCAUUACCAAGAUGAGUUUGCUGGUAUUGCACGAAAAAUUGCAAACAAGCUAAAGGGUUCCCCGCUUGCAGCCAAAACAGUUGGUAAGCUACUGCAUAAGCACCUUUCUCAGGAACAUUGGAGUGGAGUUCUUGAAAAGCAUCAGUGGCUAAAGCAGCAAGACAAUGAUGAUAUCAUGCCAUCUUUAAAGAUCAGCUACAAUUGCCUCCCUUUUGAUCUGAAGAAAUGUUUUUCCUAUUGUGGCCUUUUCCCUGAAGAUUAUCCGUUUACUUCUUCAGAAAUCAAUCAUUUCUGGGUUGCAAUAGGCAUCAUAGACUCUGAUCACCAAGCCAAUAGGAAUUACCUGGAAGAACUAGUGGACAAUGGUUUUCUCAUGAAGAAGAAAAAGUAUUAUUUGGAUCAUGAUCGAUACAAACAAAAGAAGGAAAUUGAUUGCUAUGUAAUGCAUGAUUUAAUGCAUGAGCUAUCUAAGAGUGUUUCUGCACAAGAAUGCCUCAAUAUAAGUGGCCUAGAUUUCAGAGCUGAUGUUGUCCCAAAAUCUGUUCGACACUUAUCUAUCAACAUAGAAGACAGAUAUGAUGCAAAUUUUGAGCAAGAAAUGUGUAAACUGAGGGAGAGGAUAGACAUUGCUAAUCUGCGAAGUUUGAUGACUUUUAGAGGAUAUGAAGAAGAAAGAAUCAACAAGCUUCUAAAAGAUAGCUUCAAGGAAAUAAAUAGUCUGCGUGUCCUAUUUACAGUGGUGAAGUCUGCGCAAUGUUUUCCAUAUAGGUUUUCAAAACUGAUCCACCUCCAGCACCUCAAAAUUAGUUCAUCUUUCUACAGUGACGGGGAAAUGAGUUUGCCUAGUACACUAUCAAGAUUUUAUCACUUGAAAUUCUUGGACCUAGAUGAUUGGAAUGGUCGUUCUGAUUUACCUGCAGACUUUAGCCACCUUGAGAAUUUACAUGAUUUCCGUGCUGGAAGUCAACUUCACUGCAAUAUUCGCGAUGUCGGAGAGAUGAAGCAUCUGCAGGAGCUAAAAGAAUUCCAUGUCAGGAAGGAGAGCAUGGGAUUUGAACUGUCAGAACUUGGGGCAUUGUCAGAGCUUGAAGAAGAACUGACUGUACGUGGUCUUGAACACGUGGCAACCAAGGAGGAGGCUACUGCAGCCAAACUGAUAUUGAAAAGGAAUCUGAAGAAAUUGGAAUUACUCUGGUCAGGCCGAGAUGGCCCAACUACAGAUGCUGGUAUUCUUGAUGCUCUUCAACCACACUCUAAUCUUAGAGUACUUACAAUUGCAAAUCAUGGUGGUAUGAUUGGUCCUAGCUGGUUGUGUCUUGACAUCUGGUUGACAAGUCUAGAGACUCUCACUCUAGAAGGCGUAUCUUGGAGCAACCUCCCACCCUUUGCGAAGCUACCAAAUCUCAAGGGCCUCUAUUUGAAUAAAAUUUCUGGAAUGCAUCAGUUUGGGCCUCUAUGUGGUGGCGCUCCAGGGAAAUGUUUUAUGCGCUUGAAGGAAGUUGGGUUUUAUGAGAUGCCAGAACUUGCUGAAUGGGUUGUGGAACCUAAUUGCCAUUCGUUUCCAAGUCUUGAAACAAUCGAAUGCAUCGAUUGUCCCAACCUCAGUGUGAUGCCCUUCUCUGAGGUGUCUUGCACCAAUUUGCGCAGACUUUUUGUUUCUGGGUGCCCCAAGAUGUCUCUGCCGUCCAUGCCUCACACAUCCACACUGACAAGUUGUGAUGUAGGAAGAUGUGAUUCCGAAAGGUUGCGUUAUGAUGGAAAGAGAUUGGCUGUUAGAGAGUAUGGCGGUGCGUUGGCCUCCCACAAUCUGGAUAAAGUAGAAGAUAUGAUUGUCAACAGAUGCGACGGUUUGUUCCCUGAAGAUUUGGAUGGCGGUUUUGUCUUCCGUUCAGUUAAGAAUCUCACAUUACAUGUAUCUCAUCUUACCAGCAGCAAAUCAUCAUCGUCAAAAGUGUUAAACUGUUUCCCAGCUCUUUCUGUGUUGCACAUAGAUCACUGUGAGGAGGAAUGUGUAAUGCAGUUCCCAUCAUCCAGCUCACUGCAGAAAGUUAACUUCUCAUGCUGCAAGGGCCUGGUUCUUGUGCCUGUGGAGAAGGAGAAUGGAGGAGGAAUUCGGGAGGACAACUCAUUGCUCCAAUCAUUAACAAUAUUCAAUUGUGGUCGAUUUUUCUGUGGGUGGCCCAUGGGAAAGGGAGAAUCAGAGACCAUUUGCCCUUUCCCUGCUUCCCUGAGGGAACUUGAUGUCGAAGGAGAGGCAAGCAUGAAGUCAAUGGCUCUGCUCUCAAACCUCACGUCUCUCACCACUCUAAAGCUAGAGGAGUGCGGUAAUUUAACAGUGGAUGGAUUCAAUCCUCUCAUCGCAGUCAACCUCAGAGAACUGCAAGUGUGUGGGUGCAACACCUUAGCAGCAGAUAUGCUCUCAGAGGUAGCCUUUCAGAGGGCCAAAUUAUUAUUGCCUGCAGGUUACAUCUCUAGAUUGGAGGUACUCAUCACGGACGACAUCUCUGGAUUGCUUGUUGCUCCUAUUUGCAAUCUCCUCGCCCCAGCCCUCCACACACUUGUAUUUGGUUCUGAUUUUUUUCGAAAAGGAUUUGGUUCUGAUGGGAGGAUGGAAUGCUUCACGGAAGAGCAAGAGAAAGCGCUGCAGCUCCUCACCUCCCUCCAGAAACUAAGUUUUUACUCCCGCAAGGGUCUGCAGUCCCUUCCUCAAGGGUUACAUCGCCUUUCUUCUCUCAAGGAGUUAUGUGUCAGGUACUGUCCAAAUAUCCGAUCCAUGCCCAAGGAGGGCCUCCCAGUUUCGCUGAGAAAACUAUAUAUGACUGGUCGCAGCGCUGAGAUAGAGGAGCAAAUUGAGAAAAUCAAAAGAACCAACCCAGAUUUAUCCGUCGAAACAUAA